UGCGUAGGCGGACUGAUAAGUCAGUGGUGAAAUCUUUCGGCUCAACCGAGAAACUGCCAUUGAUACUGUUAGUCUUGAGUUCGGUUGAGGUAGGCGGAAUGUGUAAUGUAGCGGUGAAAUGCUUAGAUAUUACACAGAACACCAAUUGCGUAGGCAGCUUACUAGACCGACACUGACGCUGAGGCACGAAAGCGUGGGGAGCGAACAGGAUUAGAUACCCUGGUAGUCC
rnacentral:rRNA from 1 species